rnacentral:lncRNA from 1 species
CUGUUGCUUAGGAAGGCAAGCACUGCUUAAACUUCCCUUCUCUCUACUCCGCCUUUCAGAAGGGCUUUGACUUUGAUGGGAUUUUUAAAUUCUUCUUUCUUCCACAUGGACUAUUGCAUUUGUUCACUUUAUUCCUAUUGUUUUACAGUCCUCAGAAGUUGUUCCAAAUAAAGGGAGACAGUACUCUGCCUAACCGACAGCCUCCUUCAAUCCUAAUAGCAACAUCACUUAAUGCUGGAGCCUGAUUUGCUAAUGAGAGUCUGAAUGACAAAUAUCGGAGCCUCUUGAAGGAAAGUCAGCCGUAUCCAAAAAGUGUCAAGAAACAGAGAAACGAUCUAUGGUCAUUAAAACCCAGAGGCACUAGGUACCAGAACCCAUGCUUUGCUACUGUGUGACCCAGAAUGUUUACAGCAAUACGAAGUAACAUCAGAAUGAAGUUUUCAAUAACCUUAUUCUGACUCCUUAUGAAGACUUUCCAGAAGUCCUCAGAGAUGCAUCACAGAUCACAGCUAUCUUAUUGUCACGACCUUGGACAGAUGGGAGUGAUUCCUUCAGUGCUGCCAUUCCAGCGGAGAUUGCAGUAGGGUCUCCUUCCAUACAAGUUGCUACAUUGGAGCAGAUCCUCUGGCUGUGUUUCCUGUCAUUAGGAGUUGCCCCAGCUAGAUGUCCGUGAGGAGACGGUAAGAAAUCCACCCACUCAGCUGCCAAACAUGCACAUUUCACUGGUUUCUUGAACACACUUUCCUGUUGUGGAAAUGUGCUAUGCCUGACUAGGUA